rnacentral:rRNA from 1 species
AACGCGAAGAACCUUACCUGGGCUCGAAAUGUAGGUGAAGUUGUGAGAGAUUACAACGUCCGCAAGGACUCCUAUAUAGGUGCUGCAUGGCUGUCGUCAGCUCGUGCCGUGAGGUGUUUGGUUAAGUCCAGCAACGAGCGCAACCCUUAUCGUUAUUUACCAGCACGUAAUGGUGGGAACUAUAGCGAGACUGCCGAGGUUAACUCGGAGGAAGGUGAGGAUGACGUCAAGUCCGCAUGGCCUUUAUGUCCAGGGCUACACACGUGCUACAAUGGUCGAUACAGAGGGAAGCCAAACCGCGAGGUGGAGCAAAUCCCAGAAAAUCGAUCUCAGUUCAGAUUGCAGUCUGCAACUCGGCUGCAUGAAGUUGGAAUUGCUAGUAAUGGCGUGUCAGCAACAACGCCGUGAAUACGUUCCCGGGCCUUGUACACACCGGCUAC